rnacentral:rRNA from 1 species
AACGAACGCUGGCGGCAUGCCUAACACAUGCAAGUCGAACGAGACCUUCGGGUUUGGUGGCGCACUGGUGCGUAACGCGUGGGGACCUGCCCUUAAGUUCGGAAUAACUCCUCGAAAAGGGUGCUAAUACCGGAUCAUGUCCUCGGUCCGACGGUUGAUCGCCUUUGGAUGGGCCCGAGUUGGAUUACCUUGUUGGUAGGGUAAAAGCCUACCAAGGCUACGAUACGUAACUGGGCUGUGAGGAUGCUCACCCACACUGGGACUGAGACACGGCCCGGACUCCUGCAGGAGGCGCGAGUGGGGAAUACUGCACUAUGGGCGGAAGCAUGAUCCAGCACUGACGCGUAAGUGAUGAAGGUCUUAGGGUUGUAAAGCUAUUUUAUACUGGACUAUAAUGACAUUACCGAGAGAAUAAGCACCGGCUAACUCCGUG